UACAGCAGCAGGCUUUAAAGCUUGCCUGUCUUUCGCCUACGCUUCUGGAAUCCUCAAGUUGUGUUGACCCACCUGGGAACACUGCUGGUUCCAGAAUGCCAAGCUCCAGUAAUUGUAUAAAAUAAAAUUAAAAUACCAGAAGGAUGUAUUUGCAAACAAACUAUAGAGCUUUAAGAUUAUACAGCAGUUAAGAAAGUAUGAGGUGGGCGUACAUGUGCCAGUAAGGAGGAGUUUAAAA
rnacentral:lncRNA from 1 species